rnacentral:rRNA from 1 species
AUUGAACGCUGGCGGCAGGCUUAACACAUGCAAGUCGAGCGGGGUGAUGGUGCUUGCACUAUCACUUAGCGGCGGACGGGUGAGUAAUGCUUAGGAAUCUGCCUAUUAGUGGGGGACAACAUCUCGAAAGGGAUGCUAAUACCGCAUACGUCCUACGGGAGAAAGCAGGGGAUCACUUGUGACCUUGCGCUAAUAGAUGAGCCUAAGUCGGAUUAGCUAGUUGGUGGGGUAAAGGCCUACCAAGGCGACGAUCUGUAGCGGGUCUGAGAGGAUGAUCCGCCACACUGGGACUGAGACACGGCCCAGACUCCUACGGGAGGCAGCAGUGGGGAAUAUUGGACAAUGGGGGGAACCCUGAUCCAGCCAUGCCGCGUGUGUGAAGAAGGCCUUAUGGUUGUAAAGCACUUUAAGCGAGGAGGAGGCUCUUUUGGUUAAUACCCAGAAUGAGUGGACGUUACUCGCAGAAUAAGCACCGGCUAACUCUGUGCCAGCAGCCGCGGUAAGAC